GCCUUCUUCCGCCGGAGGCUAGCGUUGUGGGCGAGCCAGCGACGGCGGAAGCCGGAGCGAGGGAGCCUGCGGCGCCGUGAUUGGCCGGUGACGGAUCCCCUCGUCCCCAACACUCACCCCUCGACCACCAGAUCACACUCCCUGAGCUCGCGGCCGCCCCGUCUCCUCCCCAGCAUGCCGCCACCCGGCCUUCUCCCGGAGCUCGCGGCCGCCCAGCCUCCUCCCCAGCGUGCCGCCGCCCAUCCUCCUCCCCGAGCUCGCCGCUGCCCCGCCUCCUCCCCAGCACGCCGCCGCCCAGCCUCCUCCUCGAGCUCGCCGCCGCCCGGCCUCCUUCCCCGACGUUGACCACCUCCCUCCUCCUUCCCUGGCGCCGGUCGCCUCCCUCCACCAUGCGCCACCCCCUCCUUCCCCAGCGCCGGCCACCUACCUAAAUCAUGCAGAUCCACGCCAUCCCCGCACUCCUCCUUCAUCCUACUGGCAGAUCUCGUGCGCCAUGCUCUGGCAGCUGGUGAGGCUUCCCCGCCACCACUCUGCCCCCUACCCGAUGGGGCAACACACCGCGCAUACAGGAAGUUCAUCGCCGCCACCUCGGGCCGUUCAAUGUCGACAUCGUGGAUGCGCCCCGCUCCAACGACAUGGCUUGGACUUCAGCGGCAAACAAUGGAGACUGCAGGGGGAGUCGCGGGGUCGAGGACGUCCAGUUCGACAGUCCAACUGCUUGCUCGGCCGCCGGUCAAUCAAGGAGCUUGUCAUUCCCUACCGUGCAACCAUCAAGCGUGUGCUAAUUGUGACUGAGGUUGCACUGCCCACGGCAGGUCUCGGCGUUUGAAACAAUUAGCAGCAAUACAGACAGCAUUUUCACACUACAGUGUGGCUCGAUGUGCAGCCCGCCGGCUCCGUCGUGUACAUCCAGACAAGACGCUAUGGUGUAGAAUUUAAUGCAUGAACACGAGGGAGGCUGGAGCGACUGCAGACCGGUGACAAGAACCACUCUUCAGUUCUGCUAUUCGUGUAUUGGAAGUACAUAUCCUCUAUCCAGGCAGGAGGUAGAGGGAUUUCGGGAGAGUGGAGACCUGGAAGAGCACUUUCAGGCGUUAUUGGCCAUGACAAUAAAUGACCAAAAAGAGCACUUUCAAUAGUAUGAUUUUGUGCUCCUAUUUGUUAUUAUGUCAAUGAGAAACCAAUACUUCUUUUCUUAAGGUUUCGUGUUUUAGUUGGUGAGGGAGAAACAAAUUUUCCUAUUCAAGUGGAAGCCCCUAGUAUAUGAUGGAUGUGGGAGUUAUUUUUACAUUCACUGUUCGGUGCUUCUCUUUAUGUAAUGCUUUAU